AUUGAACGCUGGCGGCAGGCCUAACACAUGCAAGUCGAACGGCAGCACGGGAGCAAUCCUGGUGGCGAGUGGCGAACGGGUGAGUAAUAUAUCGGAACGUGCCCAGUCGUGGGGGAUAACGUAGCGAAAGCUACGCUAAUACCGCAUACGAUCUAUGGAUGAAAGCGGGGGAUCGCAAGACCUCGCGCGAUUGGAGCGGCCGAUAUCAGAUUAGGUAGUUGGUGAGGUAAAGGCGCACCAAGCCGACGAUCUGUAGCUGGUCUGAGAGGACGACCAGCCACACUGGGACUGAGACACGGCCCAGACUCCUACGGGAGGCAGCAGUGGGGAAUUUUGGACAAUGGGCGCAAGCCUGAUCCAGCAAUGCCGCGUGCAGGAUGAAGGCCUUCGGGUUGUAAACUGCUUUUGUACGGAGCGAAAAGGCUUCCACUAAUACUGGGGGCUCAUGACGGUACCGUAAGAAUAAGCACCGGCUAACUACGUGCCAGCCGCCGCCGUAAAAC
rnacentral:rRNA from 1 species